rnacentral:lncRNA from 1 species
UUACAGAGCAGUUACGGACAAACCCAUUGGAAGGCAGAACCACAGAGGAUUCUUACAGUUUAGCUCCUUGGCAACAGCCACAAACUGAAGAGUUUCAGCAAGGAAGUGAGACACCAAUGCAGGUUUUGACUGGAUCAUCUCGUCAGACUUAUUCACCUCCUGGUUUCCAGGAUUUCAGUAAAUGGGAAUCAGUGCUGAAAAUAAAAGAAGGACUUCUGAGGCAGAAGGAAAUUGUAAUUGAUAGGCAGAAGCAACAAAUUAACCACCUACAUGAAAGGAUAAGGGAUAAUGAACUACGGGCGCAGCAUGCUAUGCUAGGACAUUAUGUCAAUUGUGAAGACUCCUACAUGAGUAGUUUACAGCCUCAAUACGAGAGCAGUUCAGGCCAGACUCCAUUUACAGAGCAGCCACUGUCCCAUCCCCACCAGGAAGAACUUGAGCAAAAGCUAGCAUCUACCGAGAAAGAAGUUUUGCAGCUCAAUGAGUUUCUCAAACAAAGAAUAAGCCAAUUCAGUGAAGAGAAGAAGAAAUUAGAGGAAAAGCUUCAAGUUCUUGAAGAAAAAAACAAGAAUUUGCAAGAAACUUUGAUAGACACAGAGAAGAAGCUUGAGGAGAUCAAGAAGCAAUGUCAAGACAAAGAAGUGCAGCUGCUGUGCCAGAAGAAGAAGGAGAAGGAGCUGGUAACGUCCGUUCAGAG